CUUUCGCUUCCCGAAAAGUUAAAGCACCGGAAGGACUAAAGCUAGACGCGCGGAAAUCGGAUCAGCGGUCACAAGGAACGAAGCGAAGGCAGCAGAAAUUGAUGCUCCAGCACAACAGCACUCUAACGACACUUCUCCAACCGGGAGGAAAAUUAACCUUAAGCAAAAUUCACCUUUAACGUCCACUUGGUCGCUAGCCCUUCCGCAGAUCAGCGAAAGCAAAUCACACGGAUUCAGAAAUAACCAACCUUAGAAAGAAAAAACCGACGGACGUGGAUAAGGAUCAAACUUCUUCUUUGACUAUUCCUGACUAUGCUUAUAACUUUUCUCCUUUUCUCAGAUCCCUGAUUGAAAAGCCACGCCACGCAGAUUCCUACUAGACACCGAGCACGAGACUACACCCGAAUCGAAUUGAAAUCUACUACCUAAAAAAAUCCUAGACAGUCGAGUAAUGAACUUCACACACGUGAAAAAAGGAUAACGCGAAUUAUGGAUGCUUAAAUGGGCCGCUAAUGCUGCUCUUUCUUGACAAGAAAGCUAAAAUUGCUGGCCAGGACAGGCUCCAUCAAAUUUGUAUCCUUUUUUAUGAUCCUUUGUGUGUGAAGAAGGGCAACACACUAUGCUUCUUCUGGCUGCUGCUAACAAAGUAGGCUCGGCACACGCAAAGGCGACACUUCCCGACGUAGUGGCUGUACAAACUCAACUGAAAAUUGAUGCUGCAAGUGAUUCAAGCAAGCCGUCGUCGCCGUCGUCGUAUGACAUCGACUUGGCCCCCCGAAGGAUAAAAUUCAACCCCCCUCGUGAGAGAAAGGCACAUUUUAGUCUCAUUUUCCAUCUGCUCACAUCCACGCGUGAAAAGUUUCAACAUCCAGCCUCUCACUAACCAGUCAACAGGACUUGCUGCUCCUUCAUCUCUCACUCGCCAUGGCGAAAGCUCUCUUCUUCUGGAUGAGGAGUUGCAUGGUCGGUAGUUCUUGUUCCUGCCUGAAUGAUGUUGAUGGCCCAACAGACUGUUGUCAGAAGGACACUCGAAAGCCCCAACAAGCGCUAGGAGUGAUGUUUCUUGGAAAAACCGACUACGGUAGGUUUAAAAACGAGUCUCGAAAUCCAUUCCACUGCACUGCUUAAAUGCUCGAUUCUUGUUCCAUAACAGUGCUGAUAUUGUUUUUUUUUCUUCCUUUGGUCGGUUAAAAGAAUUGAAAGUAUAAAGUUAUUAUUUUCUUGAAAAUCGGAAUACUUGCCUACACACAAAAUUUUCGAAGCCAGAGACUUUAGAAAAUUUAGCUUGAAAUUGACCAGCUCGAAAUUUAGUAGUCAACUAAGCAUUUUCUUUCUGUUAAAAUUUUAGCAAU